rnacentral:rRNA from 1 species
UACGUAGGGUGCGAGCGUUAAUCGGAAUUACUGGGCGUAAAGCGUGCGCAGGCGGCUUUGCAAGACAGAUGUGAAAUCCCCGGGCUCAACCUGGGAACUGCAUUUGUGACUGCAAGGCUAGAGUACGGCAGAGGGGGAUGGAAUUCCGCGUGUAGCAGUGAAAUGCGUAGAUAUGCGGAGGAACACCAAUGGCGAAGGCAAUCCCCUGGCCCGAUAUUGACGCUGAGGUGCGAAAGCGUGGGGAGCAAACAGG